rnacentral:rRNA from 1 species
CCUACGGGUGGCAGCAGUGAGGAAUAUUGGUCAAUGGACGAGAGUCUGAACCAGCCAAGUAGCGUGAAGGAUGACUGCUCUAUGGGUUGUAAACUUCUUUUAUAUGGGAAUAAAAUGUUCCACGUGUGGGAUUUUGUAUGUCCCAUAUGAACAUGGCACGGCUAACUCCGUGCCAGCAGCCGCGGUAAUACGGAGGAUCCGAGCGUUAUACGGAUUUAUUGGGGUUAAAGGGAGCGUAGGUGGAUUGUUAAGUCAGUUGUGAAAGUUUGCGGCUAAACCGUAAAAUUGCAGUUGAAACUGGCAGUCUAGAGUACAGUAGAGGUAGGCGGAAUUCGUGGUGUAGCGGUGAAAUGCUUAGAUAUCACGAAGAACUCCGAUUGCGAAGGCAGUUCACUGGACUGCAACUGACACUGAGGCUCGAAAGUGUGGGGAUCAAACAGGAUUAGAUACCCUUGUAGUC